AGGAGGUAAAGGAGGAGCAGCAGCGCCUGCAGCAGCUGGUGGAGAGGAGAAGAAAGCUGCCGGAGGAGGAGGAGCAAAAGGAGGUGGAGACAAACCCAAGGGAGGAGAGAAGGGGGGGAAGAAAGGUGGCAAGAAGUGAUGUUGGUCCCCACAAUGUCACCACAGUAACAGCCAGGUAGCUCUGGCCGUCUCGUGACACAUUCUGGCCUGACUCACUGUGUAUUAUAUCUCACUGCGGUUUAUAAUAGACACAUACUCUCAGUACCGUACUUUCCUUGUUUAUAUGUGUGUAUUUUACUGUACAAAAUGGUGAACAAACUAGUAUUUUAAUGCCUUCUGUGUUCUUUUAUUCUCUACAAGUGGAUUUUUGUUAUUUCUCUUAAAUAAUGGUGUUGUUUAGUAGGUGUUAAACGUUUAGUUGUCUGGUAGUAAUUAGCAUAAGAUUACAUUUCUCAACUCAUACUUACUUGAAACAUAAAGAUCAUGAGUCUUAAUAAUUAAACUUUACAAGGUUAUUUAAUCGUCUGUUGAAAAACUAAUUACAAAGGAUUUUUAGCACAAAAUGAGGAACAUUGUUAUUACCGUAUACUUUUAUAGCAUUUAGAAAAUAGUCUAUAAAAAACACAAAAUUUAUACGUUUAAAUAACAGUGUACUUUUAAAAUACACAAAUUAAUCUUACACAAUUACCAAUGUUAAGGGUUUUAAAUCUUUACAAUUCAACAAUAACUUACAACAUAAAUUCAUUUAUUUAUUUGUGAUAAGGAAAGCUAUCAACAUACUGUUGUUGCAUGUUUCAUCAGCAGACCAUCAUUGUUUUCUAGGUAGAACUUUAGAUCUGUGUAUAGUAAAAAUAUAUGUAUAUUUGUGUUAUGUUAUAUAGAGAGAUUCUAAUUUGUUAAGUUUGUAUUAUUGUAUUAGUUUGUUCUAGUUAUAAUUCCAUAGUGUCAUUUCAGGUUUUAAAUAAAAAGAAAGAAAUAUAACUGUCUCAAAUGCAAAUACUAUUUUAAUAUCUUGCAUACUGUUUUAUAAGAAACUACUGACCUCUGUUAGUUGAUAUUUUAACUUCUGACCACCAGAAUUGAAAAAAUUUAUUUCUUAUAACCAAUAAAUCAAUACUAUAUUUUUAGUGUA